rnacentral:rRNA from 1 species
UGCGACCGGAACGUAUUUAUUAGAUAUUAAACCAAUUGCAGCAAUGUAAUUGAGAUGAUUCAAAGUAACUGAUCGAAUCGUAGCUUGCUACGAUAAAUCAUCUAAGUUUCUGCCCUAUCAGCUCUCGAUGGUAGUGUAUUGGACUACCAUGGCAGUCACGGGUAACGGAGAAUUAGGGUUCGAUUCCGGAGAAGGAGCCUGAGAAACGGCUACUACAACUACGGUUUGGCAGCAGGGAAGAAAAUUGGCCAAUCCUAAUUCAGGGAGCCAGUGACAAGAAAUAGCAGACCGGGAAACUAAGUUUCUACGGUACUGAAAUGAGAACAGUGUUAAUCUCUUAGCGAGAAACAAUUGGAGGGCAAGCCUGGUGCCAGCAGCCGCGGUAAUUCCAGCUCCAAUAGCGUAUAUUAAAGUUGUUGCAGUUAAAAAGCUCGUAGUUGAACUUCUGUCCAGGUUCGUCUUGGCUCGCCAGGACAAUUCUGGACAUACGUCUGCAAGCUAAAAUCGGCCUUCACUGGUACGACUUAGUAAGUAGACAUUUUACUGUGAAAAAAUUAGAGUGUUUCAGGCAGGUUUUAGCCCGUAUACAUUAGCAUGGAAUAAUGGAAUAGGACUAAGUCCAUUUUAUUGGUUCUUGGAUUUGGUAAUGAUUAAUAGGGACAGUUGGGGGCAUUAGUAUUUAAUAGUCAGAGGUGAAAUUCUUGGAUUUAUUAAGGACUAACUAAUGCGAAAGCAUUUGCCAAAGAUGUUUUCAUUAAUCAAGAACGAAAGUUAGGGGAUCAAAGACGAUUAGAUACCGUCGUAGUCUUAACUAUAAACUAUACCGACUCGGGAUCGG